UACGUAGGGUGCGAGCGUUAAUCGGAAUUACUGGGCGUAAAGCGUGCGCAGGCGGUUUGCUAAGACCGAUGUGAAAUCCCCGGGCUUAACCUGGGAACUGCAUUGGUGACUGGCAGGCUAGAGUAUGGCAGAGGGGGGUAGAAUUCCACGUGUGAGCAGUGAAAUGCGUAGAGAUGUGGAGGAAUACCGAUGGCGAAGGCAGCCCCCUGGGCCAAUACUGACGCUACAUGCA
rnacentral:rRNA from 1 species